CCCCUCUCGGGUAUGUGGUGCUCUCCCGGCGGCUGACCUUCGCACCCAGCACUCAGGACCCGGUUGUUGUCCUUUGGAGGGGCCGCGGCAGACGGGGGCGGGCGGUUGGCAAACAGGACAUUGGCCUCCAGCACUUGGCGAUAAACGCGGCGGCACUGAUGGUGUCUUAGGGCAGUGCUCGGCACGGCGCUGGCACUGCUUUGUCCCGCUCCCGUCGACCGUACCCAGAGCUCUGCUCCCCCCGAGCCUGCCCACGGCCGGGCACUGCGCGGGGCCACGUGUGUAGGGCGAGGUGUGAGCCCGGCUGCCGGACAUGGGCAGCAGUGCGCCUCGAGCAGCGCGUGCCGCUGGGAGUGAGCGUGCGGGUUGGAGCUCCGAAUCCAGCCCUCGCUCUGCCUUCAGCACGGCCAAGCCCAGCCCCGCCGCCGCUCUGUGCACGCACGCUUCUCCCUGCCUGCAGACACGUUACGGCAGUGCCCCGGGCACACAGCAGCACCACUCGCAGCUCGGUUUGAGAUGGGAACAGGAAGAAAUGUGUCAACACUUUCAUGUCUCUGCAUGUCGGAGCAGCGUGCCUGGCCAGGGCUGUGUGCUGCGGGCACACGUGUCACGGGCAGCACCAGGGCUGUGUGUGGGGCCGCGCUCUGCUGCGCAGGGCUAUGAGCCCGAGCCCCACAGCACUGCAGGGGCCCCUCGGCACCGCUGUGUGCAGACACUGCCGCAUCCCAGCAGGGCAGGCCAUGAUCUGACCCCCUGUGCAGGCUCUGUGAACAUGGCAGUGUGCCCCGAGGUCCCCACACACCGUGUGGCUGUGAUUAAAAACAGGCUGUGUGCAAACCAUGUGGGGCUUUGUG
ensembl:lncRNA